AGCAGUGGGGAAUAUUGGACAAUGGGGGCAACCCUGAUCCAGCCAUGCCGCGUGUGUGAAGAAGGCUUUCGGGUUGUAAAGCACUUUCAGUGAGGAAGAAGGCCUUGGGCUUAAUACGUCCGAGGAAGGACAUCACUCACAGAAGAAGCACCGGCUAACUCCGUGCCCGCCGCCGCGGUAAUACGGAGGGUGCGAGCGUUAAUCGGAAUUACUGGGCGUAAAGCGCGCGUAGGCAGCUAAGUAAGCCGGUUGUGAAAGCCCCGGGCUCAACCUGGGAACGGCAUCCGGAACUGUUUAGCUAGAGUGCAGGAGAGGAAGGUAGAAUUCCCGGUGUAGCGGUGAAAUGCGUAGAGAUCGGGAGGAAUACCAGUGGCGAAGGCGGCCUUCUGGACUGACACUGACGCUGAGGUGCGAAAGCGUGGGUAGCA
rnacentral:rRNA from 1 species